ACUUGAUCAGAAGAAGGGCCACAGAAGGAGGUCUAGAAGCUCAGCUGGUGUUUGACUGACAUCUUUUAGGACUUGGACCCCACCGCCCACCCCCGCAACCAACACCACCACCAGUCCAGGACCUGAUGUAAUAUUGCCACAGACUGAUUCCCGUUGCCUUUGAUAUGCAACCUGUGCCUACAGUCAGCUCUCAGGGCUAAAGAAAACAGUCAGCUCCUGCGGCAUCUGAUUUGCCUCCUGCCCUCGCUGCUGUUAAUCUGCAACACGCCGCAGCCUCUAGAUCGCUGCAGUUCAGAGUCGGAUGUCAUGGGGGCGACUGGCAGGGGUUCUUUCUUCUUUCGGUUUGAUACAUCCUUCCUUCCGCUGCUCCUCGCAAUCAACCGCUAGGGGAAGGAGGGAAGCAGGCAGGAGGGAGAGCGGGAGACUUCCGGAAAUCCCUUUCCUCCCUUCCCUUCACAGGUUGCCCCAUAGUGACCCUGGAGACUCCCGCCUGCCCCCAGUGAAGGAAUUGGUUACUCUCCCAGAGCCCUCCCGGGCAUCGCCCCCUUCCUCACUUCCUCCUCUUCCUGCCGCCAGCCUCUACCCCUCCAGCCUCCUGUGGCUUCACAGGCAAGUGCCCCAUCCCAGGAAGAAGGAGUUGGAGCUCCGUGAUGCCAUUCAAAAACAGAUGAGAUGGGGACAGAUUUAACCCAAAGGACAUAGUUCAACUCCUGGUCUUGACAGAGGAGAAGCCCUCAAAGAUGGAGUCUCACUCUGUUGCCAGGCUAGAAUACAAUGGCACGAUCUUGGCUCACUGCAACCUCCGCCUCCUGGGUUCAAGAGAUUCUCCUGCCUCAGCGUCCUGAGUUGCUGGGACUACGGGCACACACCAUCAUGCCCAGCUAAUUUUUGUAUUUUUAGUAGAGACAGGGUUUCACCAUGUUGACCAGGAUGGUCUCGAUCUCUUGACCUCGUGAUCUGCCCACGUCGGCCUCCCAAAGUGCUGGGAUUACAGGCAUGAGCCAGUGCGCCUAGCAAAUGACAGCUUUUUGAGCCUCUGUUUAACAAUCUCUUAAACCUUAUAGGUAGGCAGUUCUGAGACAGCUCCUAAUCAUCUCCCCUCCUGGUAUUCAAGCCCUGAUGGAUUACUCUCUUCUUGAAUGUGAGCUGGACUUAGUGGUUUUCUUCUAAUCAAUUGAAUACACACAAGUGAUGAGCUGUCAUUUCCAAAAUUAGUUCACACAAAGCUGUAACUUUUGUUUUGUUCACAGCCUCUCUCAAUUGCCUUCUCAGCUUGUAUGCUUUGAAGCAGCAAGCUGCAGUGUUGGAGAGGCCCAUGUGGCAAGGAAAUGAGGGUGGCCUCCAGUCAAUGGCUGGUGAGAAACUGAGACCUUCCUUCCAACAAUUGUCAAGUAACUGAAUACUCCCAACAAUCAUAUGGGUUAGGUUAGAAGUGAACCUUUCUCUAGUUGAGGUUUCAGAUAAGACCACAGAUAUUAUACUAACACCUUGAUUGCAGGCUUAUGAGAAACCUUGAAAUGAGAAGACUAAGUAAAACCAUAUCUGGAUUCCUGACUUACAGAAACUGUGAGAUGAUAAAUGUGUGUUAUCUUAA